ensembl:rRNA 5S_rRNA 5S ribosomal RNA
GCCGGCAGCUAGCUCUUUGCAACUCUUGCAUGGUCGACCACUGAAGCUAAGCAGAGCUGUGCCUGGUCAGUACCAGCAUGGAAGACCGCAUAGGAAAGCUAGGUUGCUGCUGGAA